AGUAACUUACUGUAUGUUUUGAAUUUGCAGUAAUUUACUGUUUACACAUUACAGUAGUGGUACUGUACUUAUAAUAUACAGUAAGAAUUAUAUUUGAUUUCCAACGGUCAUCAUAGCUGCUUCAUCGUGGUUCCCUGUUUCUGUAUUUUUACUCCUUUAGUGGUUAACAUAUUUUUAAGGCAGAAAGAGAGCAUGUACUUUUGUUUUUUUCACAUCCUAGCUAACAUUAAUAUGCAGUUUAUCUAGCUACGUCAUCAAGCGUGGCUUCGCUUCCAACUGUUUUCUGAUGACGUUUGUUUUAAACUCCGAAGCUUUUUCUCUCCAAGUGCAGCUCUGUCUCCGUGCUGUGGGCUCACACUGCUUCAGCUCUUCAAGACAGGUAAAAAACCACUUCUUAGAAAACUGUUUGAAGCCAAAACCUAGUCUGGAAAUGUACAUUUUAGAUGGAGUUAACGUAACUUAUAGCAUCAUGCUACAAUGCUAUAACUUAGCAUUAUAGCAUGAGCUCGUUUGUUCUGGUUAGCCUGGUAACAUAACGUUACCUUUACGUUACUAACUCUGGUGUUUUAUAUAACUGGCAUAUUGCAACGUUAUAAGUUACGUGUCUGUAAAUGAGGUGAAAGAAAGGAAAAUAUGAUGGUGUUAUUUUUUGAGCUGGUUCGGAAUUAACGUUAGCUAAGGUGCUAAUUUUACCGUUGAAGGUUUUAGCUUGACUUUUGCCGCUUAAUCCUCCUCGGGCGGCUUUGGGUUGAGAUGAGCUCAGUGCUGAGUGUCUGUUAGCAUUGUUGUUACAUCCUUUGUCGAACAAUAUAACCUUAACUGAUAAUUGAUCCCCCCCCCCCCCCCCUUUUCUUUAUUUUACAUGUAAUGACUGUUCAUUUGUUUAAACCAUGAUCUUGCAAAUGUUAAAAGUGCAGAUUAGCUACGUAGGUCAGCAAGGAUGAAUUUCUAACAUUGUUCUUUUUUUUUCUUUUCUUCAGAUGACUUUUUUUUUAACUCCCCAGCUUUUUCCCUCCAAGUGGCUGUGCAGUUCUGUCCUGCUGACUGCUAACAUAGCUUCAUCUCUUCAAAAGACAAGACAACAGGUAUCUUCCACCAAGAUGUCUGUUGAAAUGGAAAUGACCUUACCCACUACACCAAGGGUAAUCAUGCUUGGAAAUAGCUUGAUGUCUGCAACCCGGUGGAUUGUCAGUAUGGAGGAGAAGGUAUUUUUCGAGCCUGAGCAACUACAUGACUUUGCCAGCGUCCUUGCUGUCUUUUUUGGGUCAUAUUCUGUCUUCAAUCUGGAGUAUCAGGAGUCAGCAUCCACCACGCUGGAGAUGAUACAAUG